AUUCGCCUGGGAAUACCAGGUGCCGUAAGCUUUUCUCACCUUCAGCCAGUGCAACUGAUUUUUUUUUUAGGCCGUCUGACUGUGCGUGCCUGCUCCCUACCUUCCUUCACACAUUUGGUCGCCCAGCGCUUUUUCUACCCCCUUGACUUUUUGCUUCCUCCGUUUGAAAAAAACAAAGUUCCCGGUUUUGCGCGCAGUGUGAAUUGAUAUUUGAUAAGCUGAUAUCAGUGUACUUCAUGGAGGUUUGCUUGACAACAGUUGCUACUGCAUAAUGUCUUGUCAAUUUAGACGCAGCAUUCGAUUGACGUGCGUCUCCUAUUACGUAUCAGGCCUAUAUACAAGCCGUGCGCCAAGGAGAAGUGCUCAUUCGCGUCUCCGUCGCUGGGGGGAGCGCCGCGCUUUCAGUCGUUAGUGUUAUAUUUCUGGACAUGUAUGGAUCAUUGUCCACCAGUGACCCUAUUUCAUAAGGCGAGAACUACAGUUGGAGCAGGGUCAAAGAGCGGACAGGGAAGGAACCUUGGUCCAUCCGUACACACGUCCUCUUCCUCUUGCUGCUGCUCUCCAUCUCUCUCGCCACUCAUCAUCCCUUGUGAGGAGAUGUAGUCCACAGUCACCUCUGUGUUCUGAGACUCUUGGGUCUGAUAAGACUCGUGCGAGAAGCUCUUCAGGUAGGCACUAGGGGACUUGAGGCUGAAGGAGAGGCACACAUCCUGUCCCUGCUGCAGACUGCUGCUGGUGCUGUCAAGGCCCAUCAGUGCACCGGGAAUCGAGCUCUCGCUGGGCAUCUCCUGCACCUCCACUGUGUCCGGUUCAUCCUCGCUCACACUAGAGUCACUCAGGUACAGUUUCAAAGUCAUCUCACCCUGUGGAGAAAUGGUGGUGGUGGUGGAGGGGGUUGAUGUAAGAUAAUGGUAUGAUGGUAUAAAGAACAAAAUGUAACUGACACAUGAGAUAAAUGGUAUGCCUACCUUUUCACCUGAACACUCUUUGGCCCAUUUACUGUUGGCUGGAUCUGGAACCAUGUCCGGAAGGAGGUGACAGCAUCUUAGAAAUCUAGAGUGAGAGAGGCCACAACAAAUCGGAUAUCAGUGUCAUAACCCAGUCACAGAGUUGGAGAGUAGAAAUACAGCCAAAUUCUUUUUUCAUUUUUAGACCACUGCAAGUGAGAAGAUAUGACACAGGCACAUGAGAACCACAAGAAAAGGCACAACACUGCAGCUGGCUACCAGGAUCCCAAAGACCAGAGGCCGGUGUCCUUUCCUGGUUUCCAAGUGCAAGUGACAUUUCCAAAUUCUCCGUUCUGCUCACAGGUCAGAUUUUGAGGGACCUCAGUUGAAUGAAUCAGGCAGAAACUAGCAUCCAACAGCAAAGCUAAACUAAGACGUAGCAGCAGGCACUGCAUGAUGUGCAAACCAAGAAGCAACAGAAGGGAGUGCAAGAAUCUAAAUCAGUAAAGAGGCA